rnacentral:rRNA from 1 species
GACGAACGCUGGCGGCGUGCUUAACACAUGCAAGUCGAACGGAAAGGCCCUGCUUUUGUGGGGUGCUCGAGUGGCGAACGGGUGAGUAACACGUGAGUAACCUGCCCUUGACUUUGGGAUAACUUCAGGAAACUGGGGCUAAUACCGGAUAGGAGCUCCUGCUGCAUGGUGGGGGUUGGAAAGUUUCGGCGGUUGGGGAUGGACUCGCGGCUUAUCAGCUUGUUGGUGGGGUAGUGGCUUACCAAGGCUUUGACGGGUAGCCGGCCUGAGAGGGUGACCGGCGACAUUGGGACUGCGAUACGGCCCAGACUCCUACUGGAGGCAGCAGUGGGGAAUAUUGCACAAUGGGCGGAAGCCUGAUGCAGCAACGCCGCGUGCGGGAUGACGGCCUUCGGGUUGUAAACCGCUUUCGCCUGUGACGAAGCGUGAGUGACGGUAAUGGGUAAAGAAGCACCGGCUAACUACGUG